rfam:Schistosoma rodhaini strain Burundi genome assembly, scaffold: SROB_scaffold0001580
AUCCGGCUGACGAGUCCCGAACAGGACGUAAUAUGCGUCCUGGAU